CGAGCUCGCCAGACAGUCGCCGCCGGUUUCGGCCGGGGGAGGAAAGUCCGGGCUCCACAGGGCAAGGUGCCAGGUAACGCCUGGGCGGCGCGAGCCGACGGAAAGUGCAACAGAAAGCAUACCGCCUAAGCGCCUUCGGGCGCCGGUAAGGGUGAAACGGUGCGGUAAGAGCGCACCGCGUGGCUGGCAACAGUCCACGGCGAUGGUAAACCCCACCUGGAGCAAGGCCAAAUAGGAGUCCGAUGGCGUGGCCCGCGCUGGACUCGGGUAGGUCGCUUGAGGUCUGUGGUGACGCAGACCCUAGAUGAAUGACUGUCCAAGACAGAACCCGGCUUACCGGCGAGCUCGAUUU
rnacentral:RNase_P_RNA from 1 species